GAUGAACGCUGGCGGCGUGCCUAAUACAUGCAAGUCGAGCGAACAGACGAGGAGCUUGCUCCUCUGACGUUAGCGGCGGACGGGUGAGUAACACGUGGAUAACCUACCUAUAAGACUGGGAUAACUUCGGGAAACCGGAGCUAAUACCGGAUAACAUAUUGAACCGCAUGGUUCAAUAGUGAAAGACGGUCUUGCUGUCACUUAUAGAUGGAUCCGCGCCGCAUUAGCUAGUUGGUAAGGUAACGGCUUACCAAGGCAACGAUGCGUAGCCGACCUGAGAGGGUGAUCGGCCACACUGGAACUGAGACACGGUCCAGACUCCUACGGGAGGCAGCAGUAGGGAAUCUUCCGCAAUGGGCGAAAGCCUGACGGAGCAACGCCGCGUGAGUGAAGAAGGUCUUCGGAUCGUAAAACUCUGUUAUUAGGGAAGAACAAAUGUGUAAGUAACUAUGCACGUCUUGACGGUACCUAAUCAGAAAGCCACGGCUAACUACGUG
rnacentral:rRNA from 1 species